rnacentral:rRNA from 1 species
CCUACGGGAGGCAGCAGUGAGGAAUAUUGGUCAAUGGACGAGAGCCUGAACCAGCCAAGUCGCGUGAAGGAUGAAGGAUCUAUGGAUUGUAAACUUCUUUUAUAUGGGAAUAAAGUGAGGAACGUGUUCCUUUUUGUAUGUACCCUAUGAAUAAGCAUCGGCUAACUCCGUUCCAGCAGCCGCGGUAAUACGGAGGAUGCGAGCGUUAUCCGGAUUUAUUGGGUUUAAAGGGUGCGUAGAUGGUUAAUUAAGUCAGCGGUUAAAGUUUGUGGCUCAACCAUAAAAUUGCCGUUGAAACUGGUGGACUUGAGUACAGUUGAGGUAGGCGGAAUGCGUGGUGUAGCGGUGAAAUGCAUAGAUAUCACGCAGAACUCCGAUUGCGAAGGCAGCUUACUAAACUAUAACUGACACUGAAGCACGAAAGCGUGGGGAUCAAACAGGAUUAGAUACACCGGUAGUC